rnacentral:rRNA from 1 species
UGGGGAAUAUUGCACAAUGGGGGAAACCCUGAUGCAGCGACGCCGCGUGAACGAAGAAGGUAUUCGUAUCGUAAAGUUCUGUCCUAUGGGAAGAUAAUGACAGUACCAUAGAAGAAAGCUCCGGCUAAAUACGUGCCAGCAGCCGCGGUAAUACGUAUGGAGCGAGCGUUGUCCGGAAUUAUUGGGCGUAAAGGGUACGCUGGCGGUUUAAUAAGUCGAAUGUUAAAGAUCGGGGCUCAACCCCGCAAAGCAUUGGAAACUGAUAAACUUGAGUAGUGGAGAGGAAAGUGGAAUUCCUAGUGUAGUGGUGAAAUACGUAGAUAUUAGGAGGAAUACCAGUAGCGAAGGCGACUUUCUGGACACAAACUGACGCUGAGGUACGAAAGCGUGGAGAGUAAACAGG